AUUGAAUAGAAAUUAAUCAUCUAUAUAAUCCUAAUAAUAAGGUUUAGGAGUAUCUACCUAGAAACCAUAAAUUUCUAGACUAUAGGUAAGUCUAAUUUUUGC
rnacentral:ncRNA from 2 species